GAUGAACGCUGGCGGCGUGCCUAAUACAUGCCAGUCGAGCGAACAGACGAGGAGCUUGCUCCUCUGACGUUAGCGGCGGACGGGUGAGUAACACGUGGAUAACCUACCUAUAAGACUGGGAUAACUUCGGGAAACCGGAGCUAAUACCGGAUAACAUGUUGAACCGCAUGGUUCAACAGUGAAAGACGGUCUUGCUGUCACUUAUAGAUGGAUCCGCGCCGCAUUAGCUAGUUGGUAAGGUAACGGCUUACCAAGGCAACGAUGCGUAGCCGACCUGAGAGGGUGAUCGGCCACACUGGAACUGAGACACGGUCCAGACUCCUACGGGAGGCAGCAGUAGGGAAUCUUCCGCAAUGGGCGAAAGCCUGACGGAGCAACGCCGCGUGAGUGAUGAAGGUCUUCGGAUCGUAAAACCCUGUUAUUAGGGAAGAACAAAUGUGUAAGUAACUAUGCACGUCUUGACGGUACCUAAUCAGAAAGCCACGGCUAACUACGUG
rnacentral:rRNA from 1 species